GGAGUCCGAGGUUGCUAUGGAGUCCCCGAAACUUUUGAAAACUGUCGGGGUUCCAGGCGAAGAGCAAGAGCGAAUGGAGGAUUUCUGGAGACAUGUGCUAAGCUUAAGGUGACAAGGGAAAGAGGACGUGGGGCUUUCAAUGGAGCAGGAAGUACAAGAUCUGUAAUAGGACAAAGCCAGUACUGAAACCAAGUUCAGCUACUCGACACUUGAAAGGCCAAUACUCAAGAGAAAUCGUUGGCGGAAAAGGAAAAGUUGCUUUAUUCAGAAGGCCAGGAACCUGGGAAGAUGGUGGAUUAAUGUCCUAAGACUAUCUCCAAGUUGCCAGUUGGAGAUGAAGGUUUGAAGACAAUGUGAGGAAGGGGCUGCAGGAUGCAGGAGCAGCUUGUGCACAUUUCUCAGAUUGGUUGGCAUCCACGUGAAAUUUCAAGCAUCACCAAUCUUCUGGUUUCACUCAUUCUGGUGUCCGCAUCCUUACAGUCAGCUUUCAGUCAGCAGUUUUCAUCUUGUGGGGGUCUGUUUCCUUAGGAAUGGGUGUCAGACCCUUAUCUAAAUCUCUCAGGGAACUGAAAGUUCAGUGACUCUGCUAUGUGGCUGCUUUAUAGUCUAAAUUGUUACCAUUUUCCAGCCCAGCAGCUAUUCCUUGUUUCUACAUCCUCCCAUUUUGUCCUCAUUAACUUUUGAGCCAGCCUUUUCAGACUCAGGGAAGGCCUGGGAGACCAAAGAAAGAGACUUUUAUUUCAAAGGACAGGGACAUAGGGACUUGUAUGCAGUUUCAAUCCCUCCUUUUAUUCGAUACUCCUCAAUCUUGAGGGAAACAGGUUUGGGACAAGAAAGGGAAUACAAUUUAAUCAUAAACUCAGCAGAGGAAUUCAGGUUUGAAAGGACUCAGUUUCAGAUUAAAGUGCCACAGAGUUGAUUCCUUCUAGAGCUCUGAGGAAGAAUCUGUUCCUGCCUCUCCCCUGGCUUCUGGGGAUUUGGUGGCAAUUUUUGGUGUUCCUUGGUUUAUAAACAUAUUGUCAUGGUCCAUGGAUAUGGGUUAGAAAAAAAAUUUUCCAGCAUAGUGAGGUGAAAAAGAGUUUAUUAAGAUAAGAGAGGCUGCUAGCGCAGCAGGCCAACUUUCUGAUAAUCAGGGUGAACUGACCCCAAGUGCAUGUCAUGUCUGUUUUUAUAGCCCAGAGAGAGGAAAGGUUUUAUGAUAUACCUGUUGACCUGCUGAUUGAUUGGGGAAAGAUGAGAUCAUCUGAUACACUUGCUGGUUGGUAUAUUGACCCUAGAGGGGCAGAGUGAAGAGUGGGCCACAUACCUUUCCUAGUCGGGAGUAGGAAGGAGUAGUCUAGGAUGCUCAAUGUGGGGGAGGAGGUGGCAUUCAAUGAGAUGGGUGAGGCAAUGAUAAGGGUCUGGUUAAUUCUUGUUUUGGCUAGAGGCUUUGAGUUCUAUCUCCUUGAAGAGACCUUGAAGUCCCACAUUCCCCUCUCUUUUUCUUAAGGGCCAAGUCCUUGGCCCCUUUGAAUACCCUGCUCAUGUCUAAUUACCUGCCUAUUUCCCUAUGGUGUGUGGGAACCCAUAUUAUAAGUUAAAAGGGGCAAAGACCCCUAUGGCUGCUUCCUGCUGAUGGGGGGCAUUAUAGGGCCCUAGAUUCCUCCCGCCUGCUCUCUGUCAGGGCAUUCCUGAAGAGGAAGGUGUGGCUCCAUGGAACAAUACGGUGACUUGUUCCAACAUCGGCCAGGUGUUGACUGGUCGAUAUCCCCAUGCAUUAUCAUUUCAAGACUUAUUUUUCAUAUUAUAGAAGAGACAAACAACAUGCACAUUAAAAGGCCAAGGCCAAAAUCAGUCAAAGAAUUAUUGUAACUAGGAGCUGAAGCAGGGCUAAGAACCAGGUUAUACUCGAUAACAUUAGAUUCUGGUCCAGGUAGAGUCAAUGCUUGGGUUACACUGUCUAAAGGAAUGGAACCACUUAGCAUGGCCAUUUAUUUCUCCAGCUGGAAAUAAUUGGAGAAGUGACAGCUGAUCCUUAAUAGACAAAAUAGAUCACAUUUCUUUACAGAAGAAUAAUCAUGAAACCUCAUCUGGACCUGGCACUUCUAGGACACUUGGUCAGGUAGACAGUUACGCAGUUUUAUCUAAGUUGGUUUUAACUGCUAAUAUGGUGUUAAUAUAAAUAAUAGGAGCUAUUAGUCAUUAUAUAUGUCUCUUCUUUUUGUUAAUGCUAAUGAUACCAGAGUCAGAUUUGGAGAACUUAGGUGAAAUUCAUUCAUUUAAAAACUAUUUGUGUAGCUCCUGUUGUGACUCAGUGGUUUAAGAACCCAACACAGAGUCCAUAAAGAUGCAGGUUCAAACCUCUGGCCUCCCUUAGUAGGUUAGGGCUCCAGCAUUGCCACAAGCUGCUGCCUAGGUCAAAGACUUGACUCGAAUCUGGCAUUGCUGUGGCUGUGCUGUAGGCCAGCAGCUGCAGCUCUAAUUUGAACCCUAGCCUGGGAACUUCUAUAUGCUGCAGGUUUGUCCCUAAGACAGAAAGAAAGGAAGGAAGGAAGGAAGAACAUAGUUCUCAGCAUCAUGAACCAAAAGUUUCCUGAACAGGAUCUAUAUAUAGCUUGAUAGUCCAAGCCAGGACAGAUGCGCAGAGCAGCUCCCCUCAGAGCAGAGCACAAUCCCUGGAUUUAUACCUCCUUUUAAAAUUGAGUUCUAAUUAUUUAUUAUUUUUGUAUUUACUCAUGCUCUUUGAGUGCAACAUGCUCAGUACAUGUGAUUCAUUUUAUUUUCUUAGAAACAGAACUCUUGAAAAGCACAGUCUGAAUAUCUUCAAAGGGAGCAAACAAAGGUAAUUGAAUUAGUGACACUUUGGGUUUUAUUCAACAGAGCAUAGAGCACUAUCCUAAUUUACCAGGGACUGACAGCAUCGAUGAAUUCUAAAACUAUGCACUUAGUGAAUACACACAGAUAAAAUUGAAAGGAACAUAGCAAAGUAAGCAUAAAUCAGUUUAGAAACACCUCUAAAAAUAAUCCCAAACUCCAGAUUGCUGAUAGUACAGUAGUUUGCUAACAGUGAAAAAAAAAUUGUUUUAAUAUGUAUAGUCAGCUUUCAAUGAUCCAUGUUCUAUCCAUAUUGUUCUGAAGGUAGUUAUAUAUCAGCAUCGGGGGUGUAUCCUGGAACAUAGUUUUAUCGCAUCACUCACAGCAGAUCAGCUGAUGACUGGUGACACUAUUUAAGAAAAUCUGGCUGAGAGGAUAAAGUAAGGAGGUCAUAAUGCCAGAGAAUCACAGGUAGAGAUGGAGGUGCCAACAGAAUGGACGGCCUGUCCUCUUGUUCCUUGCUGAUCUGUAGAACCUACAGGCCCACGUUAGAGUUCCCACUGGAACAUGGUGGAGUAUGGUGAGAGAAUUUUUAGGAAAGCUUGACAAGAAUUCAGAAGAAGAGCAUGUUUGUUAACAUGCAGGAAAGUACCUAUUUCCUAUUUAGAUAUUCCCAAAACAGAAAGCUUACUAGUGUAGCCUGUACCUGUAGGGCUUACAGACACCAAAGUAAAGAAUACUUGGGAAGAGAACUCAUGAGUUAUGAGGCUUCAUGGGAAAGAAUAUGGUGGUUGUGUGGGGACAAGACUGCUAAAACAGCUCAGCCAGCCACAGGACGAAGAGAAGGAACCCCUACCCAGAAAAAUUACUGCAACAGGGUUGGAGGUAGACUAGGCAUAAGACAACUGAAUACUUCUUCAACAAACUAAGCACUCUGUCUUUACAGAAACUACUGUAUCAAUUGAAGCCACCAGCAAAGGACAGAGCUAUCCCAACCCAGGGAAAUUCCAGAAGGGCAUUACACCUUGGUCUAUUAUAUGGAUGGCUUUGUAAGAUGACUUCUGAUCCUCCUGUCCCCCAGCCCCCACUUCAGAGAAAAUAGACCCAAGAGAGGAUGGCUGCAGUGGAAGAGCACCCCGUGCUUCGCCUGCUCCCCUCAUGUUGUAGACUAACAAAUCUGUUUAGUAAUUAAAAGUGACCAAAAAGUUAUGGAAUCAGUCCGAGAUACUAUUUAAAAAAUGAGAGAUUUAAGAUAGCCUCAUUGGAGGUAAUAAUUAGAAGAAACAAAACAUCUCAAGGUUUACAAUGUUUAUACUGUAAGCCCUCUUGAAUCAACAACAGUCCUGUUUUCAGAAGGGAUUUUCAGGGCUGACAUGAGAGGCAUAAUUUGACAAGAGGGAGAAAUCGCUUCCAGGUUGAGAAGCAAGGGAAGCAUCUACACUGGGCUGAGAAAGAUGGCAGGAUGAAGGCAGGUGAAUAUGGUGGCGGGAGAGGGAUUUCUAGAGUUCAUGGUUUGAGUGAAGUUUUGGAGGAAAAGCACAGAGAGAGAAAGAUCAGCUGGUCACUUGUUUUGACUGUGACCUGGCAAGUGCAGGGAAAUGCCAGAGAUUGUAGGAGAAAAUGUCCCAUAAAAAGGUAGAAAGAAGAGACCCCAGCCAUGAUGACUAAGCAAAGUCCAGCCAACUGCCCCAACCACCCCUCCCCCACACAUCUGCUUCUAUAAACUUGUUUCCACAUCUUACUACUUUGCCAGUUCUUAUUCUGGUCCGCCAAGCACGGACCCGGAAGAACUAGCCCAUAAAAUCCCUGUGAAACCCCUUUUUGGGGCUCAGACUUGGAGAGCCAUCUCCUCUGAGCC
ensembl:lncRNA